GUGCCAUUUGUUAUUGACAGAAAGAUCAAAGCAUGACUUCAGGGUCACGUGUAAAAAUCUCUAAACAGAAGCUUAAACCAGUUAAGAAGAGCAUGACCAAGCUACUAUUGCAGUGUUUGAAGCAAGUAAACAAGAGCAACUUCUUGUUGCUAUUUCAUAAUGUUUUAAAUAAGCAACCAUUUGAAACACAGGAUUUUACACUGAAAGGGCAGUUCUUUGGCUCAGGGCAAUGGAAGAUGAGAACAGGAAGCUCUGAAAUUGAAAAGCCAACCCUUAAAGUGACAUAAAACAGUUGGUUGAAUUUGCAGCAGUCAAGGUGACAGCACUUCAUUUGGAAAUCAAAAGGAUAUGUAUGUAUGACUAGCUGUAAAUCUUGUCUGAAUAGAAGGGGGGGCUAUGUUUUCUCUUAUAAAUUAGUAUUUUAGUUGCUGUGGUAAUGAUCCUUGUAUAACUUGUCUAUGUAAAUGAAACUCAAUCCCUGCUGUCUCCAACCACAAAGGCUGGAACAAAGGAAAACAAAACUGAACCAAAGGAACCCAGUCAACUAAAGCCUUACGAUGAAAAAUGUAAGAAAAAGUUAGGAAUAAAAGUAGUUAGGUACUAGUUUAUGAGAACA
rnacentral:lncRNA from 1 species